AGGGCCUUUGUUGGCAAGGUGAUGUCUCUAAUUUUUAAGACAGCAUCUUAAAAAGUAGAGACAUCACCUUGCCAACAAAGGUCCU